UACGGAGGAUCCAAGCGUUAUCCGGAAUCACUGGGCGUAAAGGGCGCGUAGGCGGGCUGGCAAGUCGGUCGUGAAAUCCUUCGGCUCAACCGAAGAACGUCGGCCGAUACUGCCGUUCUUGAGGGAUGCAGAGGAGAUUGGAAUUCCCGGUGUAGCGGUGAAAUGUGUAGAGAUCGGGAGGAACACCGGUGGCGAAGGCGGAUCUCUGGGCCUUGCCUGACGCUGAGGCGCGAAAGCUAGGGGAGCGAACAGG
rnacentral:rRNA from 1 species